rnacentral:lncRNA from 1 species
CAACAGGAGAGACCUGAACAGAGCCCUUCUGCACUCCACGAAACACCUGCCUUCCUUUUCAGGACUUCCAUUUCGGUACAGCUGGAAAUAGCCUUGCUGAAUUAAGAGGCACACGAUUUUAAAAUCCAAGGACAUUUUCUUCAAUUUGUACUUCACAAGUAUGUGGGAUAAUUCUCUAGAGCCCCUGCUCUUCAAACAAACAGAACUGGCAUCUUCUGUGAACUCGAAAGGGCGGAACGGUCCCAGGCUCCAUCUAGACUCAUUGAAUGAGACUUUGCUGUUGAAUCAGCUUCCCCAGUGACACAUAAUUCUUAAAUUUGAUAAACAGCCUUCUCUAUAGUUCUUUGCCUGCUCAAAUGGGGGCAUUCGUAAACUUUAAAUAUUGUGUUGUUUAUUUCUCUUUAUUUAAAGAGCAUCGGUACACUAUUACUUUAAUACCAUUUUU